GGGGUUGGGGAUUUAGCUCAGCAGUAGAGCGCUUGCCUAGCAAGCGCAAGGCCCUGGGUUCGAUCCCCAGCUCCGAAAAAAAAAAAGAGAGAGAGAGAGAUAAAGCACUAAUUUUAAAUU
rnacentral:scRNA from 1 species